rnacentral:rRNA from 1 species
CGUCGGGGUCUCAUCCAGAGGGUCUCUGGUAUUUUGCCGGGGUUUUACCUUCUGUGAUGGCCCGCCGUUGCGUUUGGGUGGGUGUCCUUAAUUGGAUGCCCGCUUCCGAACGUGACCAUUUUACCUUGAACAAAUCGGAGUGCUUAAAGCAGGCUCCACCACGCUCGAACGGUAGCGCAUGGAAUAAUGGAAGAGGACCCGCUUCCGCUUCUGUUGGUCUCACGGAGGCAGGUAAUGAUCAAGAGGAACGGACGGGGGCGGAGGUAUGGCACGGCGAGAGGUGAAAUUCUUGGACCCCUGCCAGACCCUCGAGAGCGAAAGCAUCCGCCAAGGGUGUUUCCAUUGAUCAAGAACGAAAGUCGCGGGAUCGAACGGGAUUAGAUACCCCGGUAGUCGCGACCGUAAACGAUGCCAACCGGAAAUUCGACGGCGUUACUUCCAUGACCCGCCGAGCGUCCGACCCGGGAAACCGAGAGUCUUUGGGUUCCGGGGGGAGUAUGGUUGCAAAGCUGAAACUUAAAGGAAUUGACGGAAGGGCACCACCAGGAGUGGAGCCUGCGGCUUAAUUUGACUCAACACGGGGAACCUCACCCGGCCCGGACACCGCGAGGAUUGACAGACUGAGAGCUCUUUCUCGAUUCGGUGGGUGGUGGUGCAUGGCCGUUCUUAGUUGGUGGAGCGAUCUGUCUGGGUUAAUUCCGGUAACGAACGAGGCCCCAUCCUACUAACUAGCCCCUCGGGUCCGGCUUCUGCUGGGCCCGAUGGAACGUUUGCUUCUUAGAGGGACUCGCAGGGUUUACCUGCAUGAAAAGGGGCGAUAACAGGUCUGUGAUGCCCUUAGAUGUUCGGGGCUGCACGCGCGCUACACUGAAGGCAUCAGCGUGCGCUUUGUCCGUUCCCUGCCUGAAAAGGCCGGGUAACCCGCUGAACCGCCUUCGUGCCUGGGAUAGGGAUUUGCAAUUAUCUCCCUUGAACGAGGAAUUCCCAGUAGGCGCGAGUCAUCAGCUCGCGUCGAUUACGUCCCUGCCCUUUGUACACACCGCCCGUCGCUACUACCGAUCGAACGAUUUUGCGAGGUA